AUGAAACCCUCGUUUCCCUAACUCUCCUCUGCCGUCAUCACCAUUUGACCAUCAUGAAUCAUCUUUCCCCAUUGUUAUGUGGAAUAAACCCUCACCAGAAAUCGCAGCCAUCGUUACACCUUCAAAUGGUAUGAACAACGGUGUUUACAGUGAAGCCAUUAGAUAUUCAGCCAACCAUUGUACCUGAUAAGUCUAUCGGCGAUUACCAUUACUCUACUUAAUUGUGUUGCUUAACUGAUGUGGGUUGUCAAACCACCUUUUCCUCCUUCAUCUCGCCUUAUAAUGCUUCGUGAAUAGAGUUUGCUCGUAGUGGGAGAACAAGUAACUCGUCGUAACAGUUUUGGGAUUUUAUCGAACUCAAGGUUGGUAAAGUUACUUGGCUACGAGUGAGGAGACGCUUAGAAUAACCACCUAAUCAAGAGACAGUUUCUAUUCCAGUUUAAGUUGAACUUUGUUAUUUAGUUGUAUGAGAAUUGGUUGUAUUAUUUUUAUGUGCCACCUUUAGACCACUUAGUUAAUUUUGACUUUAAUGGUUUUAAAUUGUUCUGUUGCUUUGCAUUUAUUUUCUAUGGAGAAUAAAUGUAGCAGGGACACUCCCAAAGUUUGAACGAUUGUUUUAUGAAAUAAAA